CUCUUCUCCUUCCUCUUGGAGCGGAAGUAGCCCAGCAUGAUGCCGCACACGAACACUGCGUAGAAAGACAUGACGAUUAGGAUGUAGAGCUCCUCUGAAGUUUGCCAGAACUUUUCUCCGGAUGAAGUCAUUUAUACUCCCACUCCGGAGUGUCAUCAGGACUGACGUGUUAGGGCCUGGUUGUAAGAUGAAGCCUGCCUCUAUGGAAGCCCUGAAGAAAUGUUAUGUUAAAAAAAUGAAAAAUCAAAUAAAGUUAUUUGAUUUAACAUUA